GUUAAGCGACUAAGCGUACACGGUGGAUGCCCUGGCAGUCAGAGGCGAUGAAGGACGUGCUAAUCUGCGAUAAGCGUCGGUGAGGUGAUAUGAACCGUUAUAACCGGCGAUUUCCGAAUGGGGAAACCCAGUGUGUUUCGACACACUAUCAUUAACUGAAUCCAUAGGUUAAUGAGGCGAACCGGGGGAACUGAAACAUCUAAGUACCCCGAGGAAAAGAAAUCAACCGAGAUUCCCCCAGUAGCGGCGAGCGAACGGGGAGGAGCCCAGAGCCUGAAUCAGUGUGUGUGUUAGUGGAAGCGUCUGGAAAGGCGCGCGAUACAGGGUGACAGCCCCGUACACAAAAAUGCACAUAUUGUGAGCUCGAUGAGUAGGGCGGGACACGUGGUAUCCUGUCUGAAUAUGGGGGGACCAUCCUCCAAGGCUAAAUACUCCUGACUGACCGAUAGUGAACCAGUACCGUGAGGGAAAGGCGAAAAGAACCCCGGCGAGGGGAGUGAAAAAGAACCUGAAACCGUGUACGUACAAGCAGUGGGAGCCUCUUUAUGGGGUGACUGCGUACCUUUUGUAUAAUGGGUCAGCGACUUAUAUUCUGUAGCAAGGUUAACCGAAUAGGGGAGCCGAAGGGAAACCGAGUCUUAACUGGGCGUUAAGUUGCAGGGUAUAGACCCGAAACCCGGUGAUCUAGCCAUGGGCAGGUUGAAGGUUGGGUAACACUAACUGGAGGACCGAACCGACUAAUGUUGAAAAAUUAGCGGAUGACUUGUGGCUGGGGGUGAAAGGCCAAUCAAACCGGGAGAUAGCUGGUUCUCCCCGAAAGCUAUUUAGGUAGCGCCUCGUGAAUUCAUCUCCGGGGGUAGAGCACUGUUUCGGCAAGGGGGUCAUCCCGACUUACCAACCCGAUGCAAACUGCGAAUACCGGAGAAUGUUAUCACGGGAGACACACGGCGGGUGCUAACGUCCGUCGUGAAGAGGGAAACAACCCAGACCGCCAGCUAAGGUCCCAAAGUCAUGGUUAAGUGGGAAACGAUGUGGGAAGGCCCAGACAGCCAGGAUGUUGGCUUAGAAGCAGCCAUCAUUUAAAGAAAGCGUAAUAGCUCACUGGUCGAGUCGGCCUGCGCGGAAGAUGUAACGGGGCUAAACCAUGCACCGAAGCUGCGGCAGCGACACUAUGUGUUGUUGGGUAGGGGAGCGUUCUGUAAGCCUGUGAAGGUGGCCUGUGAGGGUUGCUGGAGGUAUCAGAAGUGCGAAUGCUGACAUAAGUAACGAUAAAGCGGGUGAAAAGCCCGCUCGCCGGAAGACCAAGGGUUCCUGUCCAACGUUAAUCGGGGCAGGGUGAGUCGACCCCUAAGGCGAGGCCGAAAGGCGUAGUCGAUGGGAAACAGGUUAAUAUUCCUGUACUUGGUGUUACUGCGAAGGGGGGACGGAGAAGGCUAUGUUGGCCGGGCGACGGUUGUCCCGGUUUAAGCGUGUAGGCUGGUUUUCCAGGCAAAUCCGGAAAACCAAGGCUGAGGCGUGAUGACGAGGCACUACGGUGCUGAAGCGACAAAUGCCCUGCUUCCAGGAAAAGCCUCUAAGCAUCAGGUAACAUCAAAUCGUACCCCAAACCGACACAGGUGGUCAGGUAGAGAAUACCAAGGCGCUUGAGAGAACUCGGGUGAAGGAACUAGGCAAAAUGGUGCCGUAACUUCGGGAGAAGGCACGCUGAUAUGUAGGUGAAGCGACUUGCUCGUGGAGCUGAAAUCAGUCGAAGAUACCAGCUGGCUGCAACUGUUUAUUAAAAACACAGCACUGUGCAAACACGAAAGUGGACGUAUACGGUGUGACGCCUGCCCGGUGCCGGAAGGUUAAUUGAUGGGGUUAGCGGUAACGCGAAGCUCUUGAUCGAAGCCCCGGUAAACGGCGGCCGUAACUAUAACGGUCCUAAGGUAGCGAAAUUCCUUGUCGGGUAAGUUCCGACCUGCACGAAUGGCGUAAUGAUGGCCAGGCUGUCUCCACCCGAGACUCAGUGAAAUUGAACUCGCUGUGAAGAUGCAGUGUACCCGCGGCAAGACGGAAAGACCCCGUGAACCUUUACUAUAGCUUGACACUGAACAUUGAGCCUUGAUGUGUAGGAUAGGUGGGAGGCUUUGAAGUGUGGACGCCAGUCUGCAUGGAGCCGACCUUGAAAUACCACCCUUUAAUGUUUGAUGUUCUAACGUUGGCCCGUAAUCCGGGUUGCGGACAGUGUCUGGUGGGUAGUUUGACUGGGGCGGUCUCCUCCUAAAGAGUAACGGAG
rnacentral:rRNA from 1 species